GGGCCCGUGGUGUAACGGAUAGCACGAGCGGCUUCGGACCGCUUGAUCGGGGUUCGAAUCCUCGCGGGCUCA
rnacentral:tRNA from 2 species